rnacentral:misc_RNA from 1 species
GUCCUCGCUUUCUGUUUCAAGCCCUCCUGACUCACCGGUUCAUCUAUCACAUGACGACCUGGAUGAAUCUGAAGAUUCUCUAGCAUUAUCAGGCAGUGAAGGUAAAAAUGUUUCCUUAUUGGAACAAGGGAAUGAAUCUACAGCCUUACCUAUUGAAGCUGGGAAUGAUCAUAUGAUGAGUGGCUCAAGUGUUGUCUCUACUGGUGAUGAUGGAGAAUGGACCAUUCAGAACGAUCAACAGUUGCAGGAGCAAGAAGAAUAUGAUGAGGAUGAGGAUGGUUAUGAUGAAGAAGAUGAAGUUCAUGAUGGAGAAGAUGAGAAUA